GAUGAACGCUGGCGGCGUGCCUAAUACAUGCAAGUCGAGCGGUAAGGCUCCUUCGGGAGUACACGAGCGGCGGACGGCUGAGUAACGCGUAGGAACGUACCCCAAACUGAGGGAUAACUGCUCGAAAGAGUAGCUAAUACCGCAUGUGCUCUACGGAGUAAAGCUACGGCGGUUUGGGAACGGCCUGCGUACGAUUAGAUUGUUGGUGAGGUAAUGGCUCACCAAGUCGACGAUCGUUAGCUGGUCUGAGAGGAUGAUCAGCCAGACUGGGACUGAGAACGGCCCAGACUCCUACGGGAGGCAGCAGUAGGGAAUUUUCCACAAUGGACGAAAGUCUGAUGGAGCAACGCCGCGUGCAGGAUGAAUGCCUUCGGGUUGUAAACUCCUUUUCUCAGGGAAAAGGAUGAUGGUACCUGAGGAAUAAGCCCCGGCUAACUACGUG
rnacentral:rRNA from 1 species